GUCUUCCACUGCUGAAGCUUGGCGCUGUGCUUAGUACCAUGGCAAUGAUCUCAAACUGGAUGUCCCAAACUCUCCCAUCCUUGGUAGGACUGAACACCACGAGGCUAUCAACGCCAGACACCUUAGUCGACUUCAACAAAUACAAUAUUUCUGUGGUAACUUUAGGCGUGGAUAUUCCUUUAUGAACACUUUAAAGUUACAUCAAAGAAUAAAUGAGCUGUCUGAGAAAUUAGUUGUGAAAGGAAAUAUUAGGCUCAUUAAUACUUAGGAAUGGAAAAGCUUUAAUUUAUAUUAUUCUGAGGUUUUAAAGGAUUCUCAUUAAAAUCUGUUCUGUUCUUAUUAUUUUACUCUUCUUUUAACAUCUAUAAAAUCUCCAUAAUUUUUUCUACAGAGUAUGCUAUAGAGUACAUUCUAGCUACUCUAGUUUUCCUACAGCAGGUUCUUCCUUGGAAUUCAAUUCCUGUGACUAUUUGCAAUGCAGUCAGUCAGAGAAACCAACCUCUGUAAAACAUAAAUGAAUGAAAAACCCUUGGCAAUUUAAAGCCUGUAAAAAAAUCCUUUAAGAGAGCUAAGAAUCAGGAACAACAGAAAACUUACUUGAUAAAAUCAUUUCCCUGUACUGUUUAAUUUUUUUAUGAAGAAUUCUCCUGUCACAAGGCAAAUUCCUGUAGUCUCCAUUCACCUACAGUUAAUGGCUUUUUAACGCUUCCCACAUUAAAUAACAAAGUCUUCUCUCAUUGUUUGAAGCAUCGUUCAGUUAGCAAUACUUUCAAAUUUCAAAUAAAAAUGAAACGUACUGGUUUUUCGGAUAGAAGUUUACAAUUUCAAAUAGAAGGAAUAUCCUGGAAAAACAACUUCUCUGCUAGCAAAUAAAAGGUACAGACACAAUGAGUAUUUGGAGCUCUAAUACCUGUUUUUUACCAUUAGAUUACUCCAGUAGAUUAGACAAAGUCAGCUACUUAAAAAAAAAAAAAAAAAAAGGCAACUCUCCAUUUUCAAGACUUGUUUGCAGUUACUAUUAAUAAUUACUCUAUCAAUCAAUGUGAAAGUAACUGAGUAGAGUCAGCUGAAAUUAAUUACAUAAUUUGCCAGAUUCACCCAGGGGUCAGGGCACCAGCAGAGCACAUGCGACGCGCACUUUGACCUGCGUUUACAUUUUGACAUCCCUUGAGUCACGUAUGGUACGUCGGAGCCUGUGUUAAUGAGACUCCCCUCCUUCCCUGCAUGCCAUGUGGGACAGGAUGUAAAAGAGACUUGUAGUUAUAAAGAAAGCAUGAUGCGGCAUCAAUAAGCAAUUACAAAACAAAUUCACAUCAUUUAAUAUUUACUAAUCCAGAUUUCCUCAAUGUUCAAGUACCUGGUGGUUUUCAACAACUUCCUUGUUGAAUUAACUCUUUCAGGAAAUGACUCUAAACUAAGCAAUUCAUGAAUAAGUUCUGUUUCAAACUUGGUACCUUGGUUCUGAAAUAUACAUUUUUUGGUGUGUAUAGAUAUGGGUUUGGUUUAUUCCUAUCUGCUACUGAUGGAAGGGAAUCUGCUUUCCAAAAUUAUGCUUGGUUCUUCUAGCAUUUCUAGCUCUUUUAUGAGUUUAAAGUAAAUUCAUUAUCUUUACCUUCUGACUGGUUGAAAAUAUAAAAUAUUGGUAUGGUCUAUGAAUGUUCUGACAUAACUGAAUCUGCCUUUGAGUGACCAAAAAAAAAAAGUUCAUAAAAGUUUACAUGAUAGUAUUCACUGAAAUGGAAAAAUCAGGUUGCAAAACUGUUUGAGUGUGUGUGUGUGUGUCCAUGUUUUACAGAAGUGGCAUACUUUACAGAAGUAAUUUCCCCACCUUAACUAUUCAAGUAACUGCUCAUAUCUUAGGAUUCCCAUGGUGAAAAAUGAAUGAAUCUGUAGUUCCUAGAUUAUGAUCAUAAAAUAUUAAUGCUGGAAAGGAUCUUAGAAACUAUCCAGGUCAGUUAUUUUUACACUAUUUUUAGCAGCAGUGCCUUUUAUUUCCUCCAAACUAAAUCUUAUGUAACAAAUGCAGAAUAAGUAUUUGUUGAAUGAAACCUGAAGCGGAAGUCCAGUAUAUACAAGAGGUCAUGGGUCAAAUAAUAACUGAGGAGGGGAGGCAUUUACUGGGCCUCUACCAUCUGCCCCCCGCCCACACAACCAACCCCUUUCCCUAGUCAAAAUCUCUCCACAGGAACCUUAGAAACUCUCAAGAGCUUUGCUGGAAGUAGGACUGAUCUCAUCCAAUCUCCUCACUCUGCAGGUGGGAAGACUGACCCCCAAAUGAGUAAGUGUCUAAAGAGAGUCCCCCAGCUGGUUAAUGACAGAGCCAAAGGUGGCAGCAAGUCACCUGGCUGUGGUUCUGACGAGCGAAGUCCUCUCACCCGCUUCUGCUCAUCCUUGCCCCUCCUGGCCCCCAGUGCCACAUGAAGUUCUCUCCGCCUGCUCAGGUGGUUUCCUGUGACCCUGGACUCCACUUUCCUCAGGAGAGUUAACAGUUGCUUUAGGAGGGUUUACAGUUCCUUUCCCAGUAGGCAGAGCUAUGACGUCCAACCUUUUUCAACUUUCUCACUCUAUGUUCUCAGUUUUAGGCAGGAUGAAUGGUAUAAGCUUUCAACUGUAUAUUCACUCCCCCAAAAUGAAUGAAUGAAUAAAUGACAUAGGUCUUCAGAUUUGUUUAUGAGUGUCUGUGGGAUGUGCAAAUGGCAAAUAGUACAGAUUUUUACAAAUAUGAAUGUGGUCCCUCUUUAGAAUGGCAUUCUCAAAUGAUCUUUAAAAAAAACAAAAAUAAGAAAAGACAGGGUUUUAAUCAUUAAAGGCAAUUAAAUCUGUUUAUGGCAGGUAUCUCUGAAAGAGGCAGUGUACAUGUGACUGUCUCAAAAGCUGAGAGGUUUUAAAUUUCCAGGAUAUUCUGGUUAGUAAGUAGUUCAACACGGCUCCUUAUUAGAAGAAUAAGCUCCCUCUUGUUUCUCUUAGAAUCACGAAACCUCUCUUUAUCCUCCUCUUUGGCCCUGUUUUCGUUCUUUCUUUUUCCUUCUAAUCUAUCGCUGGGCCCAUCCGCCUUUGGAGGAGCUAAUGCCUACAGAGGCAAAACCUAGGCUCUGAGAAAACUCUGGCUCCCUCUGGCAUUUUUCUCUGAUGCAGACUAACUUCCCCCUGAGGCUGAGCUUCUGAGAAAUCCCCCAUGCUGUGGACUCCACACCAGGAAGAACCUAGAAAAGAGCAAUUAAACAACAGAGGACAUUCAGCAGACACCAGCUGCUCUCAGGCAUCCCCUCUGCUGGGGUGGGGAGAGGCCUCCAAUGGACCUGUGGGCACAAGUCAUUUGUUUUGCUACAUUUUCAAAAGUCUAACUGGCUUCCCCUCAGAAAUAACUACUCCAAGGAGUGAGUCAGUUUUAUGUUCUGAAAAGCAGUAGAGUACCCUGAUACAAACUUGCAAUACUCUCUAAGGUUCUUAAUUUACCAGCUUGUUUUAGUCCUAGAUGAAGAGAUCUGAAACCUCUGUUCUGUACCACUGUUUUUCUGCCCCAAGUUCUUAGGCAAUGCACGUUCUGUGAAAGCACAACUAAAGAAAUUAAGGAGAUGUGUAAGAGAACAGAAGGGUAAAUCUUCAAAGUCAAAGAGAAUGUGAUAAUUACCCUUUUGGAGUAAAACUGUGACACAUAAGAGAUUAGAUUUCUUCGUGUUUAAGAACUUAAAGCAGAAGUAGAGCCAAAGGGGGAAAACUGCAAAGAGAGAAGCUCAGAUCCAACCCUUCAACUUUCCACCAGGAGAAGGGGCUGCCUACGAAGCUGUGACAUUCCUAUUACGCCGAGUUCAAGUGGAAACACAAUAUACAGACGUAUCACUGAGUGGAAAGACACAGGACCAGACACGACUUCUAAGUGCUUCCCAGCUCCAAGUCAUUGCCAUUUCCAGAAAUAUCAGCAGAAGUGAUCAAUCAACCUAAAUUUGAUGGUGUCUUUGAUUUUUUUGUUUAACUGUUUCUUGUUGUUUUUAUGGUUGUUUUUCUCAGAGCCGUGAGGUUGUCCUGAGUGAAGAAUAUACAUUUCUUAUUUCCGUUCCAACUAGUCUCCUCAGAAAUAGGAAAAAACUGCUAGGCAGUGACAUCUUUAUUAACACAUCCUCCAGAACACAGCUUCUUUUAGCGUGGCCUGUCAACAUCUCUAUAAUGCCUGUCCUCACAUUUCUUCUCUCUCCACGACCGAAGCCAUAAGCAUGCUACACCACGUUUCAUUCUCUGAGAUCUAACCCAUCCUCAGAUAGAAAAUUUAAAAGGCGUUUUCAUCAGGUAUCUCCACUCUAAAUCGAAUAGGUUUUAGUAAAUGGAUUUUUUUCUGCUUUAUCCUCCCCUACCUUGUGUACCACUUUCAAAUAAGCUGGAUCCCUUAUUUCUUUUUGCCUCAGUCUGUACUUUUAUAAAAUGCCCAGAAACUCAGCAAAAAAACAUAAGACGCAGCCAUGUUCAACUAGUUGAUUUUGUCUUCUUCCAAGGUUCAGAAUUCUGUCUCUUUGCCUGCCCCUCCACCUGUGUCUUGCCAAGCCUUUCCUGCUCCCGUAGCUCCUCUGGAGUUCCAGCUGCUACCUGUUUCCAUACCAUUUGGACAAUGUGCUCCACCUACCUGGGUACAUCUCCUCUAAACUGCAGUUUUCUGGGCCAUUGGUGAAAGGACAUAAGCCAUCUCUCUGCAUUUGUCUAUAGGGGAUGCACAUAAAGAGUCUGAAAGUUGGAGGAGACCCGUGUAAGUCCUACAUGUGACAUUUACUAAAUGGGUGAUUUGGGAAAACAUUGCUUAAGUUCUCUGAGCUUCGGUUUCCUCAUAAAUAAAAUAAGAUCAUGUCUAUUUCUAAAGGCAGUUGGUUCAAAAGAAGUGAGACUAAUAGGAGAAGGGGUUUCAUAAAAAGAAAAACAUAUCGAAUUGCAAGAUAUUUUGAUUUUUACUUUUAACACAAUCCUCAGGAUCCUUCUUUUCUGGUACAAAGCCCCUUAAGUUCUGAGAGAUUUCUCACAUAGUGGCUUUAUAUUUAUAAAAUAAAAAUUGGUAAUUGAAUUGUAAGCAAAGAAUCCAAACUUGACAUCCAAUUGUUAAAAUUAUCAGUUUAAUUCUCCUAGAGCUUCCUUAAAUAUUUCAUGAGUUGGGUAAUAUUAAAAUCUACUAAACAGAUCAUGUUCACAAAAGAGAACGGUGUGUCAGUCAUCACUGUGAUUAGCAAUACUUUGGCUAGAAAUAAACCACAUGCACCCUCCAGGUCCAAGGACUCCCCUUCACAGGAGUCCAGAAAAUGCUAGCAGCAUUAUCGUCAUCUUAUGGGACAGGGAUUUCAGAUAACUUGUGGUACAGUGUGGUGGUGAAGCUUCCAAGCUCUGAAAUCAGACUGUGCAAGUAGAAACCCCACACUGCAUGACCCUGAGCAAGUUCCUUACUGUAUUUAAAUCUCACUGUCCUCGCUUAUAAAGUAGGCAGAAUAACAGCACCUAGUCCGGGGAGUUAUUGUGAUACUCAAAGACAGUAAUGUAUGUGACCUGCCACUAAGGCCAGGUUCCAUAAACGUUUGCUAUUACUAUUACAUGAGUUUUACUGACACCUAAAUACUUGCUCUAAUAAGUUAAAAUGGGAGCAGGUCUUUUCUCAUUGGUAUCCCAAAACCUUCUAAAUACUUCUUUCCACCUGAGUUCUUGGUUGGUUUUAUUUUGAUCCUCUUUUCAAUGCCAAUAUGGGGACCCUAAAAGAGGAUUAGAGAGGCUCAUAAAGCUUCCUUUAUUUACCACUAACCCUGACACAGAAGUCUCCAUCAAACCCCACAUCAAAUAAGCAUCCUUUAUGUUGGCAUUUUUCUCUCUGCCUUCUUCUUGCCAAACAGGUAACUUGUUACAGUUGAGAUCAUACAACUAACUCUACAGCAGAUAAGGCCAUGGCUCUUUUCAGUAAUUCUUACAGGAAGACAAUUGAAAGUACAAACAAGACUAGAGUCUACUUUUAUUGAGCUGGCACUUCAGGAAGAAUGCUAAGUGAAUAUCAAACCCUGUUCACCUUUUCUGCAUCCCUCAUUCCAGGAAGCAACUGACACCUGCCCUGACAUGAUAAGCUCCUCACUAGUUAGCCAAACACCUGGCAAGUGAACAUCAAUAUUAGUGCUGCCAGGUUUAAUAAUCAGUGUUUGCACUGGUGGUAAAGAUAUUUUAAUACUCUAAUUGGGUGGCCCUUGUUCCUUUAUAUGAAAGCUAAAUGUAUUCUAGUGACAAGUCUUCAUUUUCUGACAUAUUUGAGAUUUGUGUCCAAUGUUACAGGAAGCUUUGUUGAAACUAUAGGACUUAUAUCAAGAUAUAUUAGUUCCAUACUGUUACUCAGCCUAAACUUUUGAUUAUAUCAUUGAAACUACACUGCUAAGCUGUUUUCCAUCUCUAUUCUAUAGAUAAUCUCUUUACACUUUUUCUUCUUUAAUUCGAAAAGGAGAACACGAAAAAUCUUUAAUAGCAUAUCCGACUCUAAAAAUAUGUAAUUCUAAGUAUGACUUUCUAUCCUAACUAGAGAGUCAGGCAUAAAUGCUAGAAAGAAGGAAUGAAUAGAAAUGUGACAGAAAGAAUGAUAAUGAAUCUCACAUCCCAGAAAUAAAAGGCAGCAAACGACACUUCUGUGAACUAUCUGAAAAAGGAGACUGCAAGACAGGCUUGGCACCUUUUGCUUUUCAUUAUAGAUCAAGGACAAGGACUGUGACAUCUUUAUGAGUUUUGUGAGUUUAUAAUUUAUAGUUUCCCCAUGAUUGUUGUUGGAAUGCCUAUAAGCACUGUAGCAAUUAUCUCUAAAGCCCUUGAAAAGAAAAAGAACUGUGUGUUGGUUGAUGGUAUGCAGUGAGCCGGGCCUGGGAGAGAAUAAGUGGGAGGUUAUAUCUGUUUUGCUACAAAUUCUGAGGCAGAAAUCCUAUAGACAAUGGAAGAUAGCAAUGGAAGAUCUGUGAGGAGAAAAAUCACCCUGGCUUAGCCCUAAGAAUCUGCUUCCUACCAGGCAAAGCAUUCCAGUCUAAAGGCAAACAGACUGGCCCACUAACACCGGGCACUGUGCAAGAUUGUUCUCCAUUGGCCUUCAUUCACCUCCCUGCCCCUAUCCCCAUCUCAGCCCUUCUCACAUCCUUGCUUGGCCUAGCUCCUUCAGCCUGAUUCAUUAAAUACCCUCUUUUCUGGACAAUAUUUGUUUUCCCAUAUCCUGAUCACAUAAGAAAUACCAUCUUAUCUGCUGAUUCCCUGGAAACCAUACAAGGGAAGACAGAGAAAGGCUGAAGAAUUUCAGAUCCCAGCUGUAGAAGUAAGCCAGAGCUUAGCUAGAAGGAGGCCCAUUGAUUUAUCUGAUAUUUCCACAGGGAAAAGAAACUCAAUUGCAAACUGGAUGGUUUGUCUGUGAAACAUCUGUUAGGCAGCUUUUUCAAUAUCCAUAUGGUUGACCUUUAAAAACAAUUAUCUGGACAUUCACCAUCACAUUGAUGUAGCCAGAGCACUGGAAUUAAAAGCAAGACUCCAUGCUAUGCAGUGCAAGAAGGAGGCCCCUGCACUUGGGAUGUGGCUGGUCCAAACUGUGGUGUUCCAUGAGUGUAAAAUGUACCCUCACUUUCACAGAGUGAACAAAAAAGGGAAGAAAACAAUAUAAAGUAUCUCAGGAAUAAUUUUUGUAUUGAUCACAUGUUGCAAUGAUGGUAUUUUAGAUAUACCGGGUUAAAUAAAAUACAUUAUUAAAAUUAA